rnacentral:rRNA from 1 species
CCUACGGGAGGCAGCAGUGAGGAAUAUUGGUCAAUGGACGAGAGUCUGAACCAGCCCAGUAGCGUGAAGGAUGACUGCCCUAUGGGUUGUAAACUUCUUUUAUAUGGGAAUAAAAUGUUCCACGUGUGGGAUUUUGUAUGUACCAUAUGAAUAAGGAUCGGCUAACUCCGUGCCAGCAGCCGCGGUAAUACGGAGGAUCCGAGCGUUAUCCGGAUUUAUUGGGUUUAAAGGGAGCGUAGGUGGAUUGUUAAGUCAGUUGUGAAAGUUUGCGGCUCAACCGUAAAAUUGCAGUUGAAACUGGCAGUCUUGAGUACAGUAGAGGUGGGCGGAAUGCGUGGUGUAGCGGUGAAAUGCUUAGAUAUCACGAAGAACUCCGAUUGCGAAGGCAGUUCACUGGACUGCAACUGACACUGAGGCUCGAAAGUGUGGGUAUCAAACAGGAUUAGAUACCCUUGUAGUC